rnacentral:rRNA from 1 species
GCAUAUCAAUAAGCGGAGGAAAAGAAACCAACAGGGAUUGCCUCAGUAACGGCGAGUGAAGCGGCAACAGCUCAAAUUUGAAAUCUGGCCUCUUCGGGGCCCGAGUUGUAAUUUGUAGAGGAUGUUUCGGGUACCGCCUCGGUUUAAAUUUCUUGGAACAGAAUGUCAUAGAGGGUGAGAAUCCCGUCUUGGACCGGCGGUAGGGCCCAUGUGAAACUCCUUCGACGAGUCGAGUUGUUUGGGAAUGCAGCUCAAAAUGGGUGGUAAAUUUCAUCUAAAGCUAAAUAUUGGCCAGAGACCGAUAGCGCACAAGUAGAGUGAUCGAAAGAUGAAAAGAACUUUGAAAAGAGAGUUAAACAGUAUGUGAAAUUGUUGAAAGGGAAGCGCUUGCAACCAGACUUGAGCGCGGCGGUUCCCCCUUCCUUUUGGUUGGGUUACUCCGCCGUGUCCAGGCCAACAUCGGUUCUGGGGGUCGGUCAAAGGCCCGGGGAAUGUAUCUACUCCUUCGGGGGUAGACUUAUAGCCCCGGGUGUCAUGCGACCACCCGGGACCGAGGAACGCGCUUCGGCUCGGAUGUUGGCGUAAUGGUUGUCAGCGACCCGUCUUGAAACACGGACC